UUGCUGAUCUGCGAUUACUAGCGACUCCGACUUCAUGGGGUCGAGUUGCAGACCCCAAUCCGAACUGAGACCGGCUUUUUGGGAUUAGCUCCACCUCACAGUAUCGCAACCCAUUGUACCGGCCAUUGUAGCAUGCGUGAAGCCCAAGACAUAAGGGGCAUGAUGAUUUGACGUCGUCCUCACCUUCCUCCGAGUUGACCCCGGCAGUCUCCCAUGAGUCCCCACCACUACGUGCUGGCAACAUGGAACGAGGGUUGCGCUCGUUGCGGGACUUAACCCAACAUCUCACGACACGAGCUGACGACAACCAUGCACCACCUGUGAACCCGCCCCAAAGGGGAAACCGUAUCUCUACGGCGAUCGAGAACAUGUCAAGCCUUGGUAAGGUUCUUCGCGUUGCAUCGAAUUAAUCCGCAUGCUCCGCCGCUUGUGCGGGCCCCCGUCAAUUCCUUUGAGUUUUAGCCUUGCGGCCGUACUCCCCAGGCGGGGCACUUAAUGCGUUAGCUGCGGCGCGGAAACCGUGGAAUGGUCCCCACACCUAGUGCCCAACGUUUACGGCAUGGACUACCAGGGUAUCUAAUCCUGUUCGCUCCCCAUGCUUUCGCUCCUCAGCGUCAGUUACAGCCCAGAGACCUGCCUUCGCCAUCGGUGUUCCUCCUGAUAUCUGCGCAUUCCACCGCUACACCAGGAAUUCCAGUCUCCCCUACUGCACUCUAGUCUACCCGUACCCACCGCAGAUCCGGGGUUAAGCCCCGGACUUUCACGACAGACGCGACAAACCGCCUACGAGCUCUUUACGCCCAAUAAUUCCGGAUAACGCUCGCACCCUACGUAUUACCGCGGCUGCUGGCACGUAGUUAGCCGGUGCUUCUUCUGCAGGUACCGUCACUUUCGCUUCUUCCCUACUGAAAGAGGUUUACAACCCGAAGGCCGUCAUCCCUCACGCGGCGUCGCUGCAUCAGGCUUGCGCCCAUUGUGCAAUAUUCCCCACUGCUGCCUCCCGUAGGAGUCUGGGCCGUGUCUCAGUCCCAGUGUGGCCGGUCACCCUCUCAGGCCGGCUACCCGUCGUCGCCUUGGUGAGCCAUUACCUCACCAACAAGCUGAUAGGCCGCGAGUCCAUCCAAAACCGAUAAAUCUUUCCAACACCCACCAUGCGGUGGGCGCUCCUAUCCGGUAUUAGACCCAGUUU
rnacentral:rRNA from 1 species